rnacentral:rRNA from 1 species
CGUCUAUAUACGUAUAGCAUAUCAAUAAGCGGAGGAAAAGAAACUAACAAGGAUUCCCUUAGUAACGGCGAGUGAAGCGGGAAGAGCUCAAAUUUGAAAUCUUCAAGGUUCUACCUUGACGAAUUGUAGUUUAAAGAAGUGUUUUCUGUUAGAGGAGUAGCAAAAGUUCCUUGGAAUGGGACAUCAUAGAGGGUGAGAAUCCCGUAUUUGGUUAUUCUUUCUAGCUUUGUGAUACACUUUCAAAGAGUCGGAUUGUUUGGGAAUGCAGUCCAAAAUGGGUGGUAAAUUUCAUCUAAAGCUAAAUAUUGGCGAGAGACCGAUAGCGAACAAGUACCGUGAGGGAAAGAUGAAAAGAACUUUGAAAAGAGAGUUAAACAGUACGUGAAAUUGUCAAAAGGGAAGCGUUUGACACCAGUGUUGUUUUUCCGAAAAUCAAUUAAGAACGUGCUUGAUUUUGUGUUGUAUUGACCUUAUCAGCUUUCUUCACUCUUUUUCGAGUCUUUCUUAAUGCACUUUUCGGUUAACAAGUCAACAUCAAUUUCUUUUGUUGUAAAAGGGUAUUUGGAAGGUGGCUUUCUUUUCGGAGAAAGUGUUUAUAGCCUUAUACCUCUACAAUCGGAGAGAUUGAGGUCUGCAGCGUAGAUCCUUCGGGGCUAGAUACACUUGUGCUAAGUUAUAGCCUUUCAUAGACAACUUGUUGACUAUGUUUAGUCACUGUAGCUUACCCGCUUGUGCUAUUUUACCUACGCUUAGGAUGUUGAGUCAUCACACAUCUCU